rnacentral:rRNA from 1 species
GAUGAACGCUGGCGGCGUGCCUAAUACAUGCAAGUCGAGCGAACAGACGAGGAGCUUGCUCCUCUGACGUUAGCGGCGGACGGGUGAGUAACACGUGGAUAACCUACCUAUAGGACUGGGAUAACUUCGGGAAACCGGAGCUAAUACCGGAUAAUAUAUUGAACCGCAUGGUUCAAUAGUGAAAGACGGUUUUGCUGUCACUUAUAGGUGGAUCCGCGCCGCAUUAGCUAGUUGGUAAGGUAACGGCUUACCAAGGCAACGAUGCGUAGCCGACCUGAGAGGGUGAUCGGCCACACUGGAACUGAGACACGGUCCAGACUCCUACGGGAGGCAGCAGUAGGGAAUCUUCCGCAAUGGGCGAAAGCUUGACGGAGCAACGCCGCGUGAGUGAUGAAGGUCUUCGGAUCGUAAAACUCUGUUAUUAGGGAAGAACAAAUGUGUAAGUAACUAUGCACGUCUUGACGGUACCUAAUCAGAAAGCCACGGCUAACUACGUG